rnacentral:rRNA from 1 species
GUGAGGAAUAUUGGUCAAUGGGCGGGAGCCUGAACCAGCCAAGUCGCGUGAAGGGAGAAGGAUCUAUGGUUCGUAAACUUCUUUUGCAGGGGAAUAAAGUGCAGGACGUGUCCUGUUUUGUAUGUACCCUGAGAAUAAGGAUCGGCUAACUCCGUGCCAGCAGCCGCGGUAAUACGGAGGAUCCGAGCGUUAUCCGGAUUUAUUGGGUUUAAAGGGUGCGUAGGUGGUUUGAUAAGUCAGCGGUGAAAGUUUGCAGCUUAACUGUAAAAAUGCCGUUGAAACUGUCGGACUUGAGUGUAAAUGAGGUAGGCGGAAUGCGUGGUGUAGCGGUGAAAUGCAUAGAUAUCACGCAGAACUCCGAUUGCGAAGGCAGCUUACUAAGCUACAACUGACACUGAAGCACGAAAGCGUGGGGAUCAAACAGGAUUAGAAACCCGAGUAGUCC